AAGAAAGUAAUUAAGAGUGUAUGGAGGAUGCCUUGGCUCUCAGAGACGAUGAAGGACGUGACCAGCUGCGAUAAGCUUCGGGGAGGCGCUAAUAGCCUUUGAUCCGGAGAUUUCCGAAUGGGGAAACCUGUUCCGAUGAAGUCGGAAUAUCCCGCAAGGGAAGUCAACCCACCGAACUGAAACAUCUUAGUAAGUGGAGGAAGAGAAAACAAUAGUGAUUCCCUAAGUAGUGGCGAGCGAACGGGGAACAGCCCAAAUCCCGAUUGUUAAGGCAAUCGGGAGGUUGUAGGACUGCAACGUGGACUGCAAAUUUAUAAUGGAACAUUUCUGGAAAGCUAGACCAUAGCGGGUGAUAGUCCCGUACAUGAAAUAAAUUUGCUACCUAGCAGUAUCCUGAGUACCGCGGGACCGGAGAAAUCCUGUGGGAAUCUGCCAGCACCAUCUGGUAAGGCUAAAUACUACUGAGAGACCGAUAGCGAACAAGUACUGUGAAGGAAAGGUGAAAAGAACCUCGAACAGAGGAGUGAAAUAGAACCUGAAACCGUACACUUACAAGCGGUCGGAGGCCAACACCAUGCUUGCAUGGUUAGUAGCUAACGGCGUGCCUUUUGCAUAAUGAGCCUACGAGUUACUCCUCACUAGCAAGGUUAAUUCUGUUUACGGAAGGAGCCGAAGCGAAAGCAAGUCUGAAUAGGGCGUGUAGUUAGUGGGGGUAGACGCGAAACUUUGUGAUCUACACAUGACCAGGUUGAAGUCAGCGUAACAGUUGAUGGAGGACCGAACCAGUUGACGUUGAAAAGUCUUUGGAUGAGUUGUGUGUAGGGGUGAAAGGCUAAUCAAACUGAGAGAUAGCUCGUACUCCCCGAAAUGUUUCUAGGAACAGCCUCGAGGUAUGAGUAUCAUAGAGGUAGAGCUACUGAUUGGACUAGGGGGCUUCACCGCCUGCCAAAUCCUGACAAACUCCGAAUGCUAUGAUAUAUACUCGGGAGUGAGGCGCUGGGUGCUAAGGUCCAGUGCCGAGAGGGAAAUAACCCAGACCAUCAGCUAAGGUCCCCAAAUUUAUGCUAAGUUGGUUUAACGAAGUCUGAUUGCAUUGACAGCUAGGAUGUUGGCUUGGAAGCAGCCAUUCAUUUAAAGAGUGCGUAACAGCUCACUAGUCGAGCGAUCGGGCGUGAAUAAUAAUCGGGCAUAAGCAUAAUACCGAAGCUAUGGAAUUGAAGCAAUUCAAUUGGUAGGGGAGCAUUCCAGUUGCGUCGAAGAUGUAUCGUAAGGUAUGUUGGAGCGGCUGGAAAAGCAAAUGUAGGCAUAAGUAACGAUAAUGCAGGUGAGAAACCUGCACACCGAAAGACCAAGGUUUCCUGAUCAACGCUAAUCGGAUCAGGGUUAGUCGGGUCCUAAGGCGAAGCCGAAAGGCGUAGUCGAUGGUAAACAUGUUAAUAUUCAUGUACUUGCAUAUAUUGCGAUGGAAUAACGGAGAAGUGAAAGUCCUGCGUACUGACGGAAUAGUACGUUGAAGGGCGUAGGUAUAAGAACUAACAGGAAAACCCGUAGUUCUUGCUGAAACCUGAUAGUACCGUGAGUCUUCGGACAAGCGGAUAAUGGACCUAAGCAUGCUUCCAAGAAAAAUUUCUAAGCUUCAGAUAUAUGCAACCCGUACCGGAAACCGACACAGGUGGUCGAGGAGAGAAUCCAAAGGUGCUCGAGUGAUCCAUGGCUAAGGAACUAGGCAAAUUAACCCUGUAACUUCGGAAAAAAGGGUCCCUAUUUCGGUAGGGCGCAGAGAAAUGGCCCAGGCGACUGUUUAGCAAAAACAUAUGGCUUUGCAAAAUUUUAAGAUGAAGUAUAAGGCCUGACACCUGCCCGGUGCUGGAAGGUUAAGAGGAGAUGUUAGUCGCAAGGCGAAGCAUUGAAUUGAAGCCCCAGUAAACGGCGGCCGUAACUAUAACGGUCCUAAGGUAGCGAAAUUCCUUGUCGGGUAAGUUCCGACCUGCACGAAUGGUGUAACGAUCUGGGCGCUGUCUCAGCCAUGAGCUCGGUGAAAUUGUAGUUCCGGUGAAGAUGCCGGAUACCCGCAACGGGACGGAAAGACCCCGUGAACCUUCACUGCAACUUUGCAUUGACUUUGGAUAAACAAUGUGUAGGAUAGGUGGGAGACUGUGAAGCGGAGGCGCUAGCUUUCGUGGAGUCAACCUUGAAAUACCACCCUUUGUUUCUUUGAAGCCUAAUCCCGACUUAGUCGGGAAACAGUGCAUGGUGGGUAGUUUGACUGGGGUGGUCGCCUCCAAAAGAGUAACGGAGGCUUUCAAAGGUACCCUCAGCACGUUUGGUAACCGUGCGUAGAGUGCAAUGGCAUAAGGGUGCUUGACUGUGAGACCUACAAGUCGAGCAGGUAGGAAACUAGGACAUAGUGAUCCGGUGGUUCCGUAUGGAAGGGCCAUCGCUCAAAGGAUAAAAGGUACUCCGGGGAUAACAGGCUGAUCACUCCCAAGAGCUCACAUCGACGGAGUGGUUUGGCACCUCGAUGUCGGCUCGUCACAUCCUGGGGCUGGA
rnacentral:rRNA from 1 species